rnacentral:rRNA from 1 species
UACGUAGGGUGCGAGCGUUGUCCGGAAUUAUUGGGCGUAAAGAGCUCGUAGGCGGUGUGUCGCGUCGGUCGUGAAAACUUGGGGCUUAACCCUGAGCUUGCGGUCGAUACGGGCAUCACUGGAGUUCGGCAGGGGAGACUGGAAUUCCUGGUGUAGCGGUGAAAUGCGCAGAUAUCAGGAGGAACACCGGUGGCGAAGGCGGGUCACUGGCCCGGUACUGACGCUGAGGUGCGAAAGCGUGGGGAGCAAACAGG